GUGUCAGCAGCCGCGGUAAUACGGAGGGUGCGAGCGUUGUCCGGAAUCACUGGGCGUAAAGGGCGCGUAGGCGGUUCGUUAAGUCGUUGGUGAAAUCCCGGGGCUCAACUCCGGGGCGGCCGGCGAGACUGGCGGGCUCGAGCACGGUAGAGGCAGAUGGAAUUCCCGGUGUAGCGGUGGAAUGCGUAGAUAUCGGGAAGAACACCAGUGGCGAAGGCGUUCUGCUGGGCCGUUGCUGACGCUGAGGCGCGACAGCGUGGGGAGCAAACAGGAUUAGAAACCCCCGUAGUCC
rnacentral:rRNA from 1 species